AUGGAUUAAGAGCUUGCUCUUAUGAAGUUAGCGGCGGACGGGUGAGUAACACGUGGGUAACCUGCCCAUAAGACUGGGAUAACUCCGGGAAACCGGGGCUAAUACCGGAUAACAUUUUGAACCGCAUGGUUCGAAAUUGAAAGGCGGCUUCGGCUGUCACUUAUGGAUGGACCCGCGUCGCAUUAGCUAGUUGGUGAGGUAACGGCUCACCAAGGCAACGAUGCGUAGCCGACCUGAGAGGGUGAUCGGCCACACUGGGACUGAGACACGGCCCAGACUCCUACGGGAGGCAGCAGUAGGGAAUCUUCCGCAAUGGACGAAAGUCUGACGGAGCAACGCCGCGUGAGUGAUGAAGGCUUUCGGGUCGUAAAACUCUGUUGUUAGGGAAGAACAAGUGCUAGUUGAAUAAGCUGGCACCUUGACGGUACCUAACCAGAAAGCCACGGCUAACUACGUGCCAGCAGCCGCGGUAAUACGUAGGUGGCAAGCGUUAUCCGGAAUUAUUGGGCGUAAAGCGCGCGCAGGUGGUUUCUUAAGUCUGAUGUGAAAGCCCACGGCUCAACCGUGGAGGGUCAUUGGAAACUGGGAGACUUGAGUGCAGAAGAGGAAAGUGGAAUUCCAUGUGUAGCGGUGAAAUGCGUAGAGAUAUGGAGGAACACCAGUGGCGAAGGCGACUUUCUGGUCUGUAACUGACACUGAGGCGCGAAAGCGUGGGGAGCAAACAGGAUUA
rnacentral:rRNA from 1 species